UAUCUAAGGGAAGGAGGGAUGCCUGAGGUAUUUUGGUAACGCCUUUAAACUUGUCACGUUCUGAUUUGUCUAAAUUUGCAAACUAGUUAAUAAAGGCUAGCUCACCUCCUGGGCUAGUCAGCCACCUCCCGGUUCGACCGACUGGGUGAGCAAAGCACUUGGAACCAUCCUCUCUUGACUCAAGGUCAAAGCGUCUUUGCAAUACUUGUAAGUGGUAUCAGACGCUACAACUCCUCAGUCACGGAACGUCUUACUAGCAAACCCUGGUCGUAUCUUAUGGUCGGUGAUAACUGAAUUCAAAGGGAGCUACUGUGGGUUUAUGUAGUUUUACAAAAGAGUCAGAGACGGGGAUCACCAUCUAACAGCGUGGGUCUUUAAUCAAUCUGUUCACAGCAUACAGGACAGCCUCUUAGACCGAAAGACCCCAGACCAAGCGUGGGGUGCUCCAUUUAUCCCCUUCUUGCUACGUGCCCACGCUGCGCGCUACAUGCGCAACAGUGUUGACACAGCAACAGGAAACAUCAGGAAACAUCUGUCCACUUCUGAUAAGCACUUAUUAUGAACACGUCCUCUUACUGGAUACUUUUGGCUGGAACACAGGAUCAUUCUGAUUCACAUCAGUCUACUGUUAACAUGUCAGAUAAGUAUCAGACUUUACUGGAAGCACAUCUCAACGUUGGCCAAAACAGCAAAUUCCUUUGGAGCUGAUGGGGGAAAAAACAGCACACGGACCUCUCCCAUCAGGUUUUAACCCAAAGACUCACUAUUCAGCUCGAUACCUUUUGCAGAUGACCUCUUGACCUUUCUGGCCACUACACUACGACUCUUUGAGAUUCCAGGCGCCACUUCCUUCCAGUGACAUCACCAAUCUGGCUGCCUUUCCUCCGGACCACCGAGAGCUCACAAUGCACACUGGCGUGGGACGGUUUUAUGAAUAACUGAAAGCUUGUCAAACCAUACAGUCAGACUGAUUUUACAACCCAAACAGCUCAAGAUUUCUCAAAUACUUAAUAAGAUUUUGCUACAAAACAUGAAAACUUACAUUCAGUCAUUUCAUUCAUUGUCUCAUAAUCAUGUCCUAUUAUCAAUCACCAUCUUUUUUUCCUGGAUCAUCGAUUUUUUAGAAACAGAACUAAAUUAAUUUUUAUAAACUAUACCCUUGACUCUGUCUGAAUUAAUAUGAAGUGUGUGUUCCCUGAAUAGUCCAAAGCACCCUACGUUAAUAUUAAAUCAAAUAUUCAAAGAACAAUCAGAUUGAUAAUUCAUAAUUAUAUGAAAUAUCACAUCUUAUUGAUGAUUUAAUAAGUUUAAAGGGACUUUACAGAGUUUUGAAUUUUUAUGCUCGUGAUUGCCCCCUCAGGCCAAAAGGGUAACGGCAGCUUCAAUAGUAGGCUCGUGCACGAGGCGCCCAUGCUGUACGUGCACACUCCUUAACAAAAAUAACAGCUGAGACAGUCCCGUGUGUGUGUGUGUGUGGCCCGGAGGACAGAGGACAGGAGAACGCGCAGCUAAUUAAUUAAAUAAUUUGGUUCUGUACCUUUCUCUUCAGCACAGCCGACAAAGGUUUAAGAUGGGUCAGUCCUCCUGCAUGCUCAGAUCAUUCCCUUCCCUUGUUUGAAAAAUUGUUCCAAAAUGAAAGUUGAACCUACAUCCUUUUUGUCUGUGAAUUCAACGCCGUUCGGCGAGUCUCAAAUAAAAAUUUGGGCAUCUUACUGUAAAAAAAAUAUACCAUUAAUGUAAAAAAGAAACUAAAUGAACUAUAUUCCCACCGAGAAUCGAAGCCAGGUCUUCUGCAUGGAAGACCUGGGGCCCAUGGACAUCUUACAAAGUGAGCCACACUCUCCUUGCAUUCCCAGUAUCUGUACCUUUUAUAUCCUUGAUGACACCUGAAACAACGUCAAACCAAAGAACGGUUCGAAGCGAAAAAGAGGAACAAAGAAAUGAAUGCAAGUCACUGGAGCCAAUGUUUUCUUAUUCCGCUUGUUAUGUGCCAUGAAUUUCAAAUAUGAUGUCUGUGAAUUUUAAAGACAUAUUUUGACACCAAGACCGCACUUAUUUGCUAACGGGGGAAAUGCACAAGAGGGUAAAGGUCACAAUUCGGUGAAAUCUCUGUUUUACUGCAGCAGUCAGAAAACGAUGCUCCAGCACAGCGUGUUGGGAGCUAACAAAACAAACACUUGGUCACCCCGCAUCAUUUUUCAACACUUAGGGUUUGAGAAUGUGUUGGAGAAAGCCCAUAUCCUCUCUCUCUCUCUCAUUCUCUUCUUCUUUUUACCUCCUCUCCAGUCACAGAGACCCCCUACUGGUGACGGAAUAUAAAUGUAUAUUCUUGUUUGCCAUCUUGUGUGUGUCCCAGUAACAGGCCUGUUGCGUUUAACUUUUUGUAGUAGGAUUUUCACAUAUUCCAUUUGUUACAGAGGCCUGAGCCAAAUGAGCAAUUCUUCUCACCCUUUUGUGCAUCUUAUCAGCCAUGUAAUUUACAAGCUUCUUCAUUGCAAAAUAAAACAAAACAAAAUAAACCACUGGUCAUCAGCCGAGAGAGGGGAUACAGCUGGUCUGGCCACCAGUCCAUCACAGGUCAAUGUAUCCCAUUUUCCUGCCGUGUUUAUAUGUGGUCACAAACACCAGUUUUAAAACUGGGCAGCAUGGUGGUGAAGUUGGUAGCACUGCUGACUCAAAGUCACAGGUUCUAAACUUGGAGUUUAAAUGUACUCCCUAUGGGUGUUUUCUGAGUGCUGCAGAUUUAGCCCAAAAGGCAAAAACAUGAAUGUUCACCUGAAACUGCAAGUUGCUUUGGAUAAAAGUGAUAAAUGUUAAAUGUUUGUUUACACUAAAGUCAUGUUUGAUCUCGAGAGAUUUCCUUUCUGACCAAGGUAUCGGUUAGUGUAUAGUGUUUUCCUAGUUGCGGUACGCCACAGGUGCUAUAGUUUUAUCACCAUGUGCUCUCUCAUGCAUUGAAAAUCCAUCCAUCCAUUUUUGACCACUUCUCUGGGGUCAGGUCACAAGGCAGUAGCCUAAGCAGGGAGGCCCAGACUUCCCUUUCCCCAGCCACUUGAGCCAGCUCUUUGGCUGGGGAAUCCUAAGGCCUUCCCUGGCCAUCCGUGAGACAAAGUCUCUCCAGCGUGUCCUGGGUCUUCCUUUAGGUCUUCUCAUGACCAGAUACUUUGAAAAUCGUUCCAGUAAUUUAAACAUCUUGCUGUGCUUAAUGCAAUGGUCCUUAACAUCUUGUUGGCUCUUUGUCUGUGGAAAACCAAACCAGUCUUAACGCUUAAAAGAACCAGUAAAGAACCAGCUUUAACAUCAGCCCUGUAUAGAACUAGUGGGGAAUAUCCAGUAUGUGUUGGCUUCCCAAAUAAUCAGAAUCAGAAUCAGAAUAGGUUUAUUGCCAUUGUCAGUGAACAAACAAUUCACAAACUAGGAACUUUCUUCGGUACUAAUAAUUUUCCACUGUUGUAAAGUUUUUAUGUGAAAUCAGAGUAGUUUUCAAAUGAAAUGGCUCUAAUGAACCACAUACUCCAAAGAAAGUAAUUUAUCCCUUAAUAACAAUUGGUUUGGUGCGGUAUCUUAAUGGGACUGUAAAAUAGCUCUUGGCAGAGCUCUUCUUCCAUCACCAAGCAGGAUUGAGCUCACACUGAGCAUUCACACUUGUUAUGAUCUUUGUGUGAUACCACAGGCCACAAUGGGUGACAUCCUUGGUAAUCAGCACCCGCUGCCUGUGACAACAGAGGUAUAUGUGUAGAUGACAUGUCAUGUGGUCCCAUACUGAGUCAUCUUGUGUGGGUUUCAUAACAUGGAGAAUGAAGGUGUGAGGCUAGACAUAAAAGAGAGGAGAUCGCAGUAGGAGACGAGGAGGCAGCGGCACACAUGCAGAGUUGGGUGGUUUGUGUGAAUGGCUAAUGACGAACAAAGUCAUCCACAAUUCUCAUAUGGGAUAGGAAGUCAUGGGCGUCAGCUAGCACCCUUCCAGAUGCACCAAAGCGUGAAUGUCUCCUGUUGGCAAACUGUUAAAACACCUCCCACAGUCUAAGAUGGUUUGACUUUUUAUGUGGAUCGGUUGAAGGUUCUUUAUUUAGGAGAAUGCUAAUUGCACAGCCCACUGAGAAUGUCUUGUCUCGUUUUUUUCUAAAGUUAUACAUCACAAAGAUUAGGCGUAUUUAUCGUGGAUACACUGCCUCAAUUAAAAUAUUUCUAAUUGUUUUCUGCAUUUUCCCGUACUCAACCUGUCUCAUAGGUUUAAUUAUCAGCAAACAGUUCAUUAUUAUGUUCUGUUUACCUUGAAAUCAGCAAAUAGUUUCAUCUUUUUUACACAUUUUAAUUAAGGCAGAAAUCCUCUGUCAGACAGGAAGUUCCAGUGUCAGGAAUCAUGUGCAAAAAGAGUCAGAACCCCAUUCUAACAUAAUGUAUGCAAAGUAACGCGUUAGGCAUCUGCUAACAAAAAUAUGUCAUUCACAAGCGUGCAAACACACAUUUGUGCGAGUCCUGAGCAGUGUUUUUGAGCUGUUUACAAAUCUGUGAGGACAGAGCAAAUCAUGGAGCAGCAACAAUUGCGGAACAUUAUGUGGGAAUAAUAAUAAACAUAGAGGUGCGUGCUCUUGAAGGAGAGGAGUUGGUCCCAGCUGAGAGGGGCUUAAAGGCGCAAGGAGAGGUUGGAGUGGUGAGGAUGGUGCUGAGCGUGGACAGCCUCUAGGAUAUUCCCUCUGAGAAAUUAAGUCCAGAUUUCUGCUUUGACAUAAAGGUAAACAAUUGUCUUCUAAAAGCUAAAACACAAGAAACUUUUCUGUCCUGGAUUUAUGGAACUCAUUCAUGACUUUGGAUGACUUUGAAGGGAUACUCAGCAACUUUUCCAAUGUUUUUAACCCUCUGGAGGCAGGAGUUGCAGAUUUGCAAUGUUAAAACCUACCUACCUGGUUACUCCACACACGCAUUUCAUGAGCAUUUUUUCAACUCAAAAGUACCCCUGACGGAAUUAGUUGUUCGUCCUUUUUUCAAAACUUAUUUUGAGCCUGAGAGGGUUAAAGCCUUUCCUUGAGCUAGUAUAUGCCAAAAUGAAGGCCACCCAGCCUCUAUCGCCCCCUUUGGCCAGAAUAUUCCACUUGCAACUUCAGACUGGCGGGCCGCUCUGUUGGACUCGGACAACAACAUUGCGUUUACAUACCUGGUGCUGCAGUCUGGUUCCAGCACGUUUCCUGCAUGUUUUAGAGUAUGAACACAUAUGAUUUGUGUGAUUUAGUGAUCAAAUGCUCCUGUAGAAACUAAGGAAGGCUGGGAGACAUUCCAGCUGUUAGAUGAAGGCGUUAAAAAAAUGAAUGCACAGCAAUGAGAUGGAUGUUGGUUUUGUUUCUACAUACACUAAAACUAAGCCAAUACUGCCUAGUUCCCCUUAAAAGCCACAGUGUGUAAUAUUUCUACUUUUUUUACGUGAAAUCUGUGUAUUUGUUCACAAACUUGUCCGUUAUCAUUAAUGUUUUUCAUCAAAGUCUAUUUUAAACAUUCCUGUUAGCUUGAACUUUUACCUUUUUAUACAUGAACUGCAGUCAAUGCUCCUUAGUCAUGCACUAUCUUGAAAGUGUCAUGGUCUGGGGUGAGUCCUCCUCUCAGUCUAACCUUCUCUGAGCUUCCCCUGCAGGUGGGCAUGUCAGGGAGUGGAUCAGCUGCAGUCCAUCUGCUCAUCAGCUGGCCGGGGACAUAUAAGCUGCUGGGAGACAUCUUCACUUCGCUGGAUGAUUAGCUCAACUUGGAUUUUCACCACCACCUUCAUCAUGUACCUGCAACCCAUCCGGACCCGUUCCUCCGUCUCCCAGCCGGUCCCUGGUUGUCCACUCCUCCUUGACCACCCACCUUACCGGAUCCUGUCCUCGCUCCCGUGCUCAGCUCCUCCAGUCCGCCAGCCACCUGAAACCCCGGUCUCCUGUUAACCGGCAAAUGUGUGUCUCUGUUUUCUCACUCCUCCCAGACCACCACUGACCAAGCUACUCCCCCUUCUCAUGCUCCCCCCUGGACCACGAAUCAUACCUUCUGGAGUCCCAGCUGGAUUUUCCUGCUGCGCUUUAUGUUUACCCUUUUAUAAUAAACCUUAUUUCUUAUCAUAUCC